CAUUUGGGUAAUUUAAACUUUGGCUGCUAUAAACCUUCAGGGGAAAAAAACCCAAUUACUUGAAUGUUAAAAAAAAGCAUCUAUCCUAAUCAUCGAAGAUGUACUUCAUCAUUAACAAUUGAGAUCUAUAAAAUGUUACACAAUAGCAACAAGAGGUGAUUUCUUUGAAUUGCUGGUGAUCUCACGUGCAGUGUGUUGAUAAAACACAUCAGUACAUCCACAGUAGUGAGAAGCAGGCAUAUUGGCUUCACAGACAUCUAUUAUUUGACAAUUUAUCUGUUGGCAUUAACUAAGUUGUUGCUUAAUUGUUUUACCGGUUCCUCUACUUACUAAGUGAAAACUGUUGUGUACAGUUGUAUCAAAGAGGUGCCCUAAUAUCAGCUCUGCUGACAGAAAGCAAUGUACAACUCACUAUAGCUGUGGUAUCAUGAUUCCAGGGAUUAUAGUGCAUCAUGGGCGUUUUUCAAGAGAGACCAUAAAACGCACGGAACAUGAAAUUUCCAAAGUCCAACAUGUAAGGCUGAAAUGUGAAGUACUGAGUUUCACAGUCCUUUGAGCUAUAGGUAGGACAGUAUGGCGAGCUCCAGGAUGUCUCUCCUCUCAGCAAAUAACAGCAACCAUGUAUUAAUACAUGCUGGAAGCAUCAUCCUGGCUGUCAUCAGUCAGGUGAUCUCAGACAUCUUCUUUAUUCUGGCAAAGGACAGCAGCGUGCCCAAUGCUUUGUUUCAGACCUCACACCGGAAUAUGUCUGAGAGCUUCCCCCUGGAGGUGACAAUGGACUACUGGUCAGAAUAUUACUGGAUUAUGAUCGACUUGUGGUCUAAGGCUUGGCUUGUGGAUGCGGGGGUCAGCCUUUGUAGAAGAAAUGUGCUCGGCCCCGAGUCCUGCAAUCCAGAAAUCCACCCUCCAGUAUUCUAUCUGAUGUGGAGCACAGUUAAUGUUGCAAGGAUGUGCAGCAUGUCUCUGUGGGACAGACAGUGUAUACUUGGAGCUGCAUUACUCAGAUGGAUUCCAGCAGUUUAUAGCUUCUACAUGCUCCACAUGUCCUACUUUAACCUCAACAAGCACAAAGCCUGGCUCGCUAUCAACAAUCCAAGGGUGAUCCCAUGGACACAAUACCUGACCCAGAACGGGUUGGCGGUGUUUGCUUGGUGGUCUUUCUUGAAUGCUGUAGUGGGUUUUGGAAUUGUGCUCAAAUACAACGCCGGUGUUCCAGACCCACUAAUCAGCACCAUCGUCCUCACCGUUGUCACUGUGUCCAUCAUCAUAUGGUUCAUCCUACAGACCUUCUUGCUAACCAAAUACAUGGGCCACACUAACAGCGUUUAUGCCAUUCUCAUUCUGGGCCUGGGAGCAAUGUUCACCAGAAGCUACCGUCUCCAUGCCCUCACCGUAAACACAGUCUUCUGUGGGUUCCUCAUGCUCCUGGUGACCCUCAUGAGCUUGAUCUAUCUGAUGUCUGCAUGUUUGCACACGGAUAAGUCGAGCAAACCUCUCGACAUGGAGCUCUAUCAGAAAUCUGAUGACUGUGCGACAGUGUGUCAACCAGAAGGAAACAUGAAACUCCAGAAGUGACAUCAACAAUAAAAAAUCAGCUUAAAGAAUGGAAUAUCAUCUGAGCCCAGUGGUGGCAAGGAAGAGCUGCAUGACCUUUGAUGAGGAUGCUGAGCUGAAGUGGACUGAACGUCGGAUGAAAGCGGUGGGCGAAUGAAGACAAUAGGGACACAAUGAAGGUGGAUGGAUACUGCAGAUUUACCCCAUCCACAACGUGGUUUUGUUCGGUCAGACAAAUAAAGAUAUUAAACGAAAAA
ensembl:lncRNA